ensembl:lncRNA
GCCGUGGGCGCAGCAGCCAGUCUCUCCUCUGGCUACCAUCCCCAGACGAAUGGCCAGACAGAGCGGGCUAAUCAGGAUCUGGAAGCAGCACUAUGCUGUGCGACCGCUCAUCACCCUGUCUCCUGGAGCUCUUUCCUGCCCUGAAUUGACCCAGGAGGAGGAGGUGGCAGUCUCUUCAGUAGACGAGCAUCUUCGGAGGAUUCGGGAAGUUUGGAGUAAUGUGAAGGCGGCACUCACUCGCUCUGCCGAGAACAACAAACUGCUGGCAGACCGACAUCGCUCCCCCGCCCCUGAGUAUGAGGUCGGCCAGAAGGUGUGGCUAUCUUCCCGGGACCUUCCACUUCAAACGGAGUCACGUAAGCUGGCGUCCCGUUAUGUGGGGCCUUUCACCAUCUCGAGAAUAAUUAACCCUUCCUCUGUCCGUCUAAUCCUCCCUGAUUCGAUGAAGAUACAUCCCACUUUCCAUGUUUCCCUCC